rnacentral:ncRNA from 1 species
GUUUUUUAAUAAACGAAGUGAAUUGAAACAUCUUAGUAACUUCAGGAAAAGAAAUCAAAAGAGAUUCUACGAUUAGCGUGAGCGAAAGUAGAGAAGCCUAUAUAUUAAUAAGUAAAAUGGUUUAGAAACUGUUUGAAUUUAAUGGGGAACCUUCCUCAAAGGCUAAAUAUAAUACAUAAGCGAUAGUGAAUAGUAUCAUGAGAGAAC